rnacentral:ncRNA from 1 species
GAAAAAACCCUGACGGGGAGAAGUAGGGACUUAUCUCUUACCCAGAGAGAACCGGUACAGCUGAGAACGGUUUUAAGAGAAUGUCCCGAAAUGCACCCCUGAGUCUUCCGUCGAACCUGCAGUAGACGAAGCGGCACCUUCCCGUUAUAGAAGUGAGAGGGAGGAACAGUCAGACUGUUCUUCCAAACAGAGUGGAACCACGCGGAAGCGUCUCUGUG